CACGUGAGAAUCUGCCCUUAGGAGGAGGAUAACAGCUGGAAACGGUUGCUAAUACUCCAUACGCUGAAAAGUGAAAGGAUUUAUCUGCCUAAGGAGGAGCUCGCGUCUGAUUAGCUAGUUGGUAAGGUAAAGGCUUACCAAGGCGACGAUCAGUAGCUGGUUUGAGAGGACGAUCAGCCACACUGGGACUGAGACACGGCCCAGACUCCUACGGGAGGCAGCAGUGGGGAAUUUUCCGCAAUGGGCGAAAGCCUGACGGAGCAAUGUCGCGUGGAGGAAAGAAGGCUCGGUGGGUUAGUA
rnacentral:rRNA from 1 species